rnacentral:rRNA from 1 species
GACGAACGCUGGCGGCGUGCUUAACACAUGCAAGUCGAACGGUGAAGCGCUUUCCUUUUUGGUUGGUGUGGAUGAGUGGCGAACGGGUGAGUAACACGUGAGUAACCUGCCCCCUUCUUCUGGAUAACCGCAUGAAAGUGUGGCUAAUACGGGAUAUUCUGCGCCUGCUGCAUGGUGGGUGUGGGAAAGAUUGUGCCUUUGGGUGUUUUCGGUGGGGGAUGGGCUCGCGGCCUAUCAGCUUGUUGGUGGGGUGAUGGCCUACCAAGGCGGUGACGGGGAGCCGGGCUGAGAGGGGGGACGGUCACACUGGGACUGAGACACGGCCCAGACUCCUACGGGAGGGAGCAGUGGGGAAUAUUGCACAAUGGGCGCAAGCCUGAUGCAGCGACGCCGCGUGAGGGAUGGAGGCCUUCGGGUUGUGAACCUCUUUCGCCAGUGAAGCAGGCCUGCUCCGUGUGGGUGGGUUGACGGUAGCUGGAGAAGAAGCGCCGGCUAACUACGUG